rnacentral:lncRNA from 1 species
UCACCUGCGUCUUUAGUGUGUGGCUUUUAAUCAAAUGAAGGAAAACUUCUUGAAUCCUCAAGAAGGAAGAGCUUUUCUUCUUCCACGUGAAUCUUGAACCAUUCAAGUGAUUUUGGGAUAUGUAAAGAGUAAUGAGGUCUGCAUGAAUAAAAGGCAAAGAUGAGGAGGAAAGAGUCUGUCCACAUGAAGGACCCAAAAAUUUGGUACAAAAUUGAAAAUUUCCCUUGUAUGGGUCAUUGAUGAGGUUGAUAGCAGAUGGAAUUGAUGUUCCAAUAUCUUGUAUUUUGUUUUCAUUCUCUCCGCAAGUAAUUGCAUGUUCUCCAAAUGUAUAUUUUCUGCAU